rnacentral:pre_miRNA from 1 species
GAUGUACUCCCUCCGUCUGAAAAUACUUGUCAUCAAAAUGGAUAAAAGGAGAUGUAUCUAGAUGUAUUUUAGUUUUAGAUAUAUCCAUUUUUAUUCAUUUUGAUGACAAGUAUUUUUGAACGGAGAGAGUACUAG